GACGAACGCUGGCGGCGUGCUUAACACAUGCAAGUCGAGCGGUAAGGCCCUUCGGGUACGACGAGCGGCGAACGGGUGAGUAACACGUGGGUGACCUCGCCUCUAGCUCUGGGAUAAGCCUGGGAAACUAGGGUCUAAUACCGGAUAUGACUCCACGGCGCAUGUUGUGGGGUGGAAAGCCUUGUGUGGCUAGAGAUGGGCCCGCGGCCUAUCAGCUUGUUGGUGGGGUGAUGGCCUACCAAGGCGACGACGGGUAGCCGGCCUGAGAGGGC
rnacentral:rRNA from 1 species